rnacentral:rRNA from 1 species
GAGUUUGAUCCUGGCUCAGGAUGAACGCUGGCGGCGUGCCUAACACAUGCAAGUCGAACGAGCGAGAGAGAGCUUGCUUUCUCAAGCGAGUGGCGAACGGGUGAGUAACGCGUGAGGAACCUGCCUCAAAGAGGGGGACAACAGUUAGAAAUGACUGCUAAUACCGCAUAAGACCACAGCACCGCAUGGUGCAGGGGUAAAAACUCCGGUGGUAUGAGAUGGACCCGCGUCUGAUUAGCUGGUUGGUGAGGUAACGGCUCACCAAGGCGACGAUCAGUAGCCGGCUUGAGAGAGUGAACGGCCACAUUGGGACUGAGACACGGCCCAAACUCCUACGGGAGGCAGCAGUGGGGAAUAUUGCACAAUGGGGGAAACCCUGAUGCAGCGACGCCGCGUGGAGGAAGAAGGUUUUCGGAUUGUAAACUCCUGUCGUUAGGGACGAUAAUGACGGUACCUAACAAGAAAGCACCGGCUAACUACGUGCCAGCCGCCGCGGUAAUUC